UUGCUAUCUGCGAUAUGGAAGAUUCGAACCUGCCGCAGGUUCGGGUCUAACGCAGUGAGACAACGGAGCCGUUUACGGCGACGGCCCGAAGGGCGAGCGAAGCGAGUCAUCCUGCACGACCCACCA
rnacentral:sRNA from 1 species